CCAUCUUAGCAGCCAAUAAAAAUGACAGAUGGCAACAGGGUGCCUUUAGGGGGCUGUAGCCCUGCCCCCGAACAUGAAUCUGCAGAUUCUACAGCA
rnacentral:snoRNA from 1 species